UAAUACGAAGGGUGCAAGCGUUAAUCGGAAUUACUGGGCGUAAAGCGUGCGUAGGUGGUUGUUUAAGUCUGUCGUGAAAGCCCUGGGCUCAACCUGGGAAUGGCGAUGGAUACUGGGCGACUGGAGUGCGGUAGAGGAUGGCGGAAUUCCCGGUGUAGCGGUGAAAUGCGUAGAGAUCGGGAGGAACAUCCGUGGCGAAGGCGGCCAUCUGGACCAGCACUGACACUGAGGCACGAAAGCGUGGGGAGCAAACAGG
rnacentral:rRNA from 1 species